CAGCCGCCGCGGUAAUACGAAGGGGGCUAGCGUUGUUCGGAAUGACUGGGCGUAAAGGGCGCGUAGGCGGCGAUCAAAGUCAGGCGUGAAAUUCCUGGGCUCAACCUGGGGGCUGCAUUUGAUACGUGUUGUCUAGAGUGAGGAAGAGGGUUGUGGAAUUCCCAGUGUAGAGGUGAAAUUCGUAGAUAUUGGGAAGAACACCGGUGGCGAAGGCGGCAACUUGGUCCUUGACUGACGCUGAGGCGCGAAAGCGUGGGGAGCAAACAGGAUUAGAGACCCGCGUAGUCCCUGUCUCUUAUAC
rnacentral:rRNA from 1 species